rnacentral:misc_RNA from 1 species
UUGAAGGGAGGGUAAAACCUGCCUUCGAAAUCUUUAAACUCUUAUAUAACGAAUGUUUAUCUGCCGCAAGGCAAAAUUUAAUACAACUUUUAACAACGGAUCUCUUGGCUCUCGCAUCGAUGAAGAACGCAGCGAAAUGCGAUAAGUAAUGUGAAUUGCAGAAUUCAGUGAAUCAUCGAAUCUUUGAACGCACCUUGCGCUCCCUGGUAUUCCGGGGAGCACGCCUGUUCGAGUGUCAUGAAACUCUCAAGCAAGAUAGAUUUAUUUCUAUCUCUGUUUGGAUAUGGACUCUGCCGCGUCAAUGCGGCUGGUCUUAAAUAUAUUAGCUGGUCCUAGUGAAGGUUUGGUUCUACUCAGCAUGAUAAUUAUCUGAUGUUGAGGACAGUCUUAGGACUGGCCAGGCUCUCUCUGGAUUGCUUCUAAUCGUCUUUGGACAAUUAAUCAAUAUCUGACCUCGAAUCAGGUGGGACUACCCGCUGAACUUAAGCAUAUCAA